rnacentral:rRNA from 1 species
GACGAACGCUGGCGGCGUGCCUAAUACAUGCAAGUCGAACGCAGUGGGGACGGGUGAGUAACACGUGGGUAACCUCCCAUCAGAGGGGAUAACACUUGGAAACAGGUGCUAAACCGAUACUGAUGGAUGGACCCGCGGUGCAUUAGCUAGUUGGUGAGGUAACGGCUCCCCAAGGCGACGAUGCCUAGCUGGUCUGAGAGGAUGAUCAGCCACACUGGGACUGAGACACGGCCCAGACUCCUACGGGAGGCAGCAGUGGGGAAUCUUGCGCAAUGGGCGCAAGCCUGAUGCAGCCAUGCCGCGUGUAUGAAGAAGGCCUUCGGGUUGUAAAGCACUUUCAGUCGGGAAGCGUUACCUACAGAAGAAGCCCCGGCUAACUUCGUGCCAGCAGCCGCGGUAAUUC